CCCUGUUGUUAGCUAGCCACGGCUGCGGCCUAUCUUCCUGCUUCACUUUUACUUUUUAAGAUAGGUCAGAGAGUGGUGAGUUCAUUGCAGAUGGGUCCAGGUUGGAGCUCUCAAUGUGUUUAUUCUGCGACUGCAGCGGCAGAGCUCUUAGGCUCCUGCAGCCCUGAGGAGAGGGGUCCACCAGGAACCUGGGGCAUUCUGGGACCCGAGCAUGCAUUUUCGGACAAAGGAAAGAAAUGCAAAGAUGCAGGAGGGUGCUCGUGAGACCUAGAGUGGAUGGCAAGGUAAGCUUGUUAUGUCUGUGACAUGGAAAAUCCCAAGAAACUGUGCUUUCCAGUCUGAUGAGUACCUGGUACAAAUGUGAGAAGCAACAGCGUGGAAGUGACCCUGCGACAGGCUGCCUUUACGCCUGUCAUUUGCCUGUCUUGGCAACCAGUUGUGCCAAAAACAGUGGGCUGUUCUACACACACACACACACACACA
rnacentral:lncRNA from 1 species